CGAUCAUGGUGACGCGAGCAGUCUGCCACCCACAACAUUGCGAGAAGUCUACUGAACCUUAUCAUUUAGAGGAAGGAGAAGUCAUAACAAGGUCUCUGAGGUGAACCUAUAGAAGGAUCAUUG
rnacentral:rRNA from 1 species